GUCCUAGCUGUAAACGAUGAGCACUUGGUGUGGCGGGUAUCGACCCCUGCCGUGCCGAAGCUAACGCAUUAAGUGCUCCGCCUGGGGAGUACGGCCGCAAGGCUGAAACUCAAAGGAAUUGACGGGGGCCCCGCACAAGCGGUGGAGCAUGUGGUUCAAUUCGACGCAACGCGAAGAACCUUACCUGGGCUUGAACAGCAGGUGACAGCUCUUGAAAGAGAGUUUUCCUUCGGGACACCUGUAGAGGUGCUGCAUGGCUGUCGU
rnacentral:rRNA from 1 species